AUUUGAUUUGUUUGCUUGUUUCAGCGCGGUGGAAUGGAAAUGGCGCAUCGGGG
rnacentral:sRNA from 1 species